ACCUGCCCUGCUCUGAUCUCCCCUCUUCAAAGGUUUUGCACAUCAGUGGUGCCUCAGGUGGAACUUGGUGUCAUCUGCUGGAAAUGGAAUGGUUUGGAUGCAGAGAGUCCUGGUACCCUUGUCCCUCAGAGACAAUGACACUGGAGCCCUGGCUGAAGGGUGUGGUCAUGCAGGUGCCGGUAGAAGCUUGAGGACGUGAGAACUGCUAGACAUAAAGUUAUCUGGAGAUCCCACUUGAUUACCACAUUUGCAAUUUCUUGUGCAAGAUUAAGCACCUUAGGCC